rnacentral:rRNA from 1 species
AUGGCGGAAGUGGCGAAAGGGGCAGUAAUACAUGGACAACCUACCCUGGGGAUGGGCAUAGCCGUUCUAACGAGCGGGUAAUUCCCAGAGAUUCGGCGACGGUGGCAUCAUCGUUCCGGGAAAUGAAUUUCGCCUCGGGAGGGGUUCAUGAGCUAUCAGCUAGUUGGCGGGGUAACGGCCCACCAAGGCGUAGACGGCUAGCGGGUGUGAGAGCACGACCCGCGCCACUGGCACUGAGACACUGGCCAGACACCUACGGGUGGCUGCAGUCGAGGAUCUUCGUCAAUGGGCGCAAGCCUGAACGAGCGAUGCCGCGUGAGCGAUGAAGGCCUUCGGGUUGUAAAGCUCAAAAGAAGCGCGAAAGGGAAACUUGAUCAAGCUUCAGUAAGCUCGGGCUAAGUUCGUGCCAGCAGCCGCGGUAAGACGAACCGAGCGAACGUUGUUCGGAAUCACUGGGCUUAAAGGGCGCGUAGGCGGAUUCUCAAGUCCGGGGUGAAAUCCCACAGCUCAACUGUGGAACUGCCUCGGAUACUGGGUGUCUCGAGGGUGGUAGGGGUAUGCGGAACUAUCGGUGGAGCGGUGAAAUGCGUUGAUAUCGAUAGGAACUCCGGUGGCGAAGGCGGCAUACUGGACCACUUCUGACGCUGAGGCGCGAAAGCCAGGGGAGCAAACGGGAUUAGAUACCCCGGUAGUCCUGGCCCUAAACGAUGGGAACUAGCUAGUAGGGUUCACAUGGCUUUACUGGCGAAGCAAAAGUGCUAAGUUCCCCGCCUGGGGAGUAUGGUCGCAAGGCUGAAACUC